CGGCUUAGGACCAAUAACAGUAUAACAAAUACAAAAAGUAGGCGCAUAUAAACUAGUAUGGUACACAAAACAAACUAACCGUAUAACAAACACAAAAGAUAAGUGCAUAAUAAACUAGUACGGGAUGCAAAAAAGCCAACACCACUAGCCCCAAACAACAGCCACAACACUACGAACCAGAAACUCCAGACCCAAAGGAGCACUCCCCUAUUACUACCUCCGCACUCCCACCCCCUAACCCUCUACCCUAAUCCGCAUCCUCCACACCUUCCUAUCAAGGGUCAUGUUCUCUGUAAGCUGUAAUUGCUCCAUAUCAUGCCUAAUCACCUCCCUUCAAUUUUUCUUCGGUCUAGAGCAUCAGGGCCUCUCCUCCUCACAUGCCCAAACCAACGUAGCCUCACUUCUCGCAACUUAUCCUCCACCGAGGCAACUCGCACCUUCUCCCGAAUAAUCUCAUUCCUCACCCUAUCUUUCCUGGUAUGUCCACACAUCCAUUGCAACAUUCGCAUCUCCGCCACCUUCACCUUUUGGAUGUGGGAGUUCUUAACUGGCCAACACUCUGCUCUAUACAACAUAAUCGUCCGGACUACCACUCUGUAGAACUUACCUUUAAGCUUCGGGGGCACCUUCUUAUCACAAAGGACUCCCGAAGCGAGCCUCCACUUCAACCACCCUGCCCCAAUACGAUGCGUGACAUCCUCGUCAAUCUCACUAUUACCCUGAAUUAUAGACCCCAAAUACUUGAAACUCUCCCUCUUCUGGAUGGCCUGAGAGUCUAGCUUCACAAUAACUCCAUCUUCUUGCGACAUAUCACUGAACUUACACUCCAAGAACUCCGUCUUGGUUCUACUUAACCGAAAACCUUUAAAUUCAAGUGUCUAUCUCCAAAUUUCCAACUUAUCAUUAACUCCACCCCGAGUCUCGUCGAUCAGAACCACAUUAUCUGCAAAUAACAUACACCAAGGUACCUCCCCUUGAAUGAAGAUAUCCGGGACAAGGUGGAAACUGCCUCCAUAGCGGACAAGAUGAGGAAAAUGAGACUAAGAUGGUACAUACAUGUGAAUAGCAGGUGCACAAAUGCCCAAUAAGGAGGUGUAAAAGGUUGGACACAGUGGGUCUUAGGAAAGGUCAAGGUAGGUCGAUGAAGUAUCAGGGUGAGGUGAUUAGGCAGAACAUGACACAUCUUCCGCUUUCCGAGGUCAUGACCUUAGAUAAGAAGUUAUGGGCGUUGCAAAUUAAGGUAGAAGGUCAGUAGUUAAUUGAAUGUUGUCUUUUUUCCUAGCAGGAUAGGUUGGUGCAUUGUACCUAUUUCUCAAUUUAUACCACUAGUAGUAGAAUUUGUCUCGUAAUUGGCUUGUCUUUCGAAUUUUGUUAUUCCUCGUUAUUUAGUGCUUCAGUUAUCAUAUUACUUGCUUAUGGUUAUUGCUCCUUUUUCGGAUGCUAUAUUAUGUUUUUCCUAUUAUUUUCUAUGUCCUUUUUACUUCUAUAUUGUCUAGUUAGCUGCUCUGAUGUUCGUUAUUCAAGUCAAGGUCUUUCAAAAAUAACCUCUCCACCUCCUUGAGGUAGGUGUAAGGUCUACAUACACUCUACCCUUUCCAAAUCCCGCUUUUGGUACUAUAAUGAGUUUGUUGUUUUUGUUGUUGCAAUAUUUUAAGAGUGCUAUAAAUUAAAAGAUGACCAGAUCAUUUACUUGCUUCUCCAGAGCUACAGGGAGAUCUAUGUGUCAUGACAUUAGGGAAGAUGGAGAUCCAAGAUCUAAAACUGAGGUCGAUCAAGUUGCAAUUCUGUAGUAAAUACUGAUGUUUUGAGAAAACAAUAAACUUACUAUCUUACUUUCCACUUUUGAUGUAAAAAUCAUAUACGUCAGGCAUUUCAUCCCUUAAGCAGCGGACAUAAUUCUCUAAGAACUUGCACUCAGAACACUUCAUAAUUGUAUAUAAACACGGCACUAGAUUUAUCAGAUCCUUCUCCUUUAGAAGCUCCAAGAUUUUCUUCCGAGGCGAGACUCGCUUCUCUAAACUGAACAUUAAAAGUGUGGGAUGAGACGCUAUGUAACUAGAUUCAUACCCAAGUUCCCCCAUGAAAAACUUCAGUACUUUUCUGAUCUUAGCCUCAGAUAAAGUCAAAACAAAACGGAAGCCUUUGCACCAUUGUAAUAAUAUCAGUAUCAGACCAUCCAAAACUCUUGAAAAUUCCAAUUUUCAUUCCUAAACUCGACUUACUAAGCGAGGAAAUCAUGUGCACUCCAUAGAAAAACAUCCAGGAAUCCUUACGAAUGGAAAAUUCCUUUUCCACUUUUUGCACUUUAUUCUCAAGCCACUUGGGGUCCUGAAGAAAAAUCCUCGGAUUCCUAAUAACAAGCUUCACAAUAUCCGAAUCCAAAAAUCCAAGAUUUUGCAAAAACAAUACAUUAGAUAAUAUUGAUCUAUCGAGACGAUAACUAAGCAAUGCAGGACAUCUCUUAAGAGCUAUAGCAACAGAAUCAUCACUACCUAAUAACUCUCUACGAUAAUCAAGACUUGGUCGAAUGCGAGUAUCGACACCUGUUCUAAUAAAACAGCGGCUUCUUGCAACAACUUUUGCUAAAUCCAAUCCAGAUAAACCGAAUUCUUCAAGAACUUUGAUUUUGGGUUCGAGGGCUUUGGUGACAUCAGCAAACAACACACCAGGUGAGGAAGAGACUAAGGUUUUUAUUUGGGUAUUGUUUAAACCAAUUUGUUUGAAGAAAUUGACGACUAUUUGAGGCUUGUUGUUUCCGGGUUUCAAGAAAGUUAGCUUGGAGCUAGCAGAAAUGGCUUUUUCUUUGGAGAAGCCAAGUGAAUUUACAAGAAAUUCAGGCAUUAAAUUGGGUGUAGUUGUGCAACAAUAGAGUUCCAUUUUGAUGCAAUAAUGAUAAAUGGAAAGGACAUGUGUCUUUCCACCAUUUUUACCAACUCCAAACAUGUCGUCAAGUGCAAUUUUGCUUUUUAAAAGAAAGAGGAAAAAGGAUUUUUAAGAGUCCCAGCGUAAAGGGUUUUGAAAAUGGGGAUUAAGAAAUGGUUUGGCUGAGCUCACGAGGCGCAAAUGGGCCGGUUGGCUAUUCCUAAAUAGUCACUUUUAACUUUUGUAAAUUUCCUUUUGACAUAUAACUUGUAUUUCAUUUAAAAUCAUAAUACUAUUACUCAAUUAUUACAUUUUUCCUUAAAAAAAUACGAAACACUAACGAAUUAUUUGAUAGAGUCUAUAUAAAAAUAAUAUAAAAUAUAAUAUAUUAAUAAUACUUGUAUUAGUAAUGUUUGAAUUAGUUAUACUUAUAUUUUUCUUAUGUAUUAUUUUGUUUGAUGUAUUAAAAAUUAUAUGUAAAAGAAUUAUUUAACAAAAAUAUCCUCUUCACUUUCUUUUCAAUAAAACCCAGCUGUAUUUUUCCUCAAGUCUUUUCCUCACUGUUCUUUGCAUAUGGGUUUAUGUAUUUUUUCUUAGUUUCUUGUGUUUCGACCAUGCUUCAUGUGUUCUUCUUUUCCAAUUGCUUCUGAAAUAUGAAUGUGUUAGGGUUUUGGCCCUAAUUUUCUUACCAAAAUUAAGUUUAUUUUUUUGUGGAAAGAAAAUAAAAGUAGCCAUAAUUGAUUUUAAAGUAACCAUAAUUACUUUUACUUUUCUUGAAAGAAAAAUAUACUAUAAAACUUUUUCAUAUUUGGCUAACCUCUUUCUAAGAGGAAAGGUUUUGGAACUCUAUAAAUAGAAAACCCUUCUUUCUCAUAUAAUAACACAAUAACAUCCACAAUAUAGUCGUUUAAGAAUUUUGGUUAGAGGGAGAUUUUCUCUCAAUUAGUUUUCAUGUUUUUUAAUAUUAGGUUUUUAUGUGUAGGUCAAUUGCCCAAAUCAUAAAUAAUAUUGUGUUUUUAGUUUAGUUUUGUGUCUUCUAAAUUAUCACCACAAUGGUUUGCAACAAUUAGCUUCCGCAUGACACCCUCUCGAUUUCAAACCCUGAUAUCAUAGCCUAUGGUUCAACAAGUGGUAUCAGAGUCUAUGGUUCAAUGUUUCAAUAGUGUGGUGAGACGAGAUUAAACAGGUUCAAAGCGGUUUCAAAUCAAUUUGCAAUCAAUUGGAUGAUAAUGAAGUUUUGUGUGUAACUACACGUGGAGACAAUUGUCUAUCAUAUUUCAAUAAUCCUGUUGUCACAUAUUUGAAAAUAAAGCUCACUUUUAACCCGGUAAAGGGCUCAAAUAUUUUUAACCCGAAAAGGGCCGGUAUAUUUUAAUCCAAAGAGGCUCAAUUUUUAAAGUAUGUCAAACAGCAGUAAUAUAUGAAAAAUAUGUGAAGAACGAAGAUUAUGCACAAGAAGGAGGAGGAUCAA
rnacentral:lncRNA from 1 species